GUGGGAUUGAGGAAAAUUGUAGAGAGAGAAAGAUAAAGGAGAUGGGGCAGAUCGUGAAGACGAAGAAGAAAGGACGUCCAUCUAAGGCAGAUCUAGCUCGCCGGAACGCUGCCGCUGAGCAGUCGGAAUCGGCGUCGGCGAAGCAGGAGAGGGAGCUUCGUCGGAGUGGACGGCGUCGGAAUGUUAGGUACGCUUUCGAUAUCGAUGAUUACCUUGACGACGAUGAGUACUUUGUCGAAGACGAUGAGGAUGAGAGAGGCAGAGAGAAGAAGCUAAAACACUUGCUUAAGCUACAGAGCGAUGAAAUCGGUGCUGAGUCAACUCCGAGUCGGACUCGACGAGUGUCAGUAGGGCCUGCCACGUCGGCUUCGUCUUCCGACGAUGGGGAUGGGAGAAAGCCCUCUAAAAAGAGAAAAAUUAACGGCGACGAUGAUAGAGAUGAAGACGAAGAAGAUAAUGACGAUGAAAUUGAAAAUGAUAAUGAUGAUGAGGCUAGAGGAAGGAAUGAAGAAGCAAAAGAUGUGGACUCUGCUCCAGGGACACCAUCUGAACCACAUUCUGGAAUGCCGUUGCCAGAUAAGAAGACGAUGGAAUUGAUUCUCGACAAGUUACAGAAGAAAGACAUCUAUGGUGUUUACGCGGAACCUGUUGAUCCUGAAGAGCUUCCUGAUUAC
rnacentral:misc_RNA from 1 species